rnacentral:lncRNA from 1 species
GGCAAUGGCGAAGAUCAACAAUGUCAAAAUGUCAAAAUUUAUGUUUGCUUUUUGCUUCUUUGUUUUAAUCUGUUUUUGCUUACCCAAUUCUAUCGCAAUUUCAUUUAAGCAAGUCUUCAAUUGUACACUGCUCGCCAUAAUAGUUUUAUACUGUUACACACAUCUCAUCAUUCUACUAUUCUACAUUGGCUAGAUAUUGUGACUGUCGCCGUCGAACGAACUGUCGGAUAUUGGUGACUAUUGCCUCAUCGGAUUACAUCAUGGAUCAUCGACUUUCUCUGUUUUCACAACAAGUUCCUGAAUAUUUCGUAGUAACCACAACUUUGAACAUCAGCUUCUUUCAACUGUAUUUAUCGACUGAAAGAGUGAAAGAGAAGCAUCCGGUUUUUCUUGCAAGAAACAUGACAAGGACAGCUGGGACCAGAACUUCAUGUAAGACUGUCAGAGUUUCAGCUGUUUUCAUAUGCUUCCAAUUUUUUCUUGAAAGUUGAAACUAUUGGUGAAAUGCUUUUCCAUUGCAUUACAUUUUGCAAGCAACUCACAAAGAAGGUUAAUGGAGUUUCAGCCAUUGCUAUUGUAGUGUCCUGGCUGAGAAACUGAGAAAGUUAGCAGGCCAAAUACAAAUGAAAAAUGUCUUAUAUGGAAUUCAGGCAAACAUUCAAACUUUCUGGUUUUACCAUCUUUAAAGUGAUUAAGUCAAAUCAUGUACUUUCAACUGUGUGCUGGCAUGCCCUGCAAUUUCUACUCAUUAACUGGAAAUAUUUUUGGUGACUAAAGACCUCAACAUUUAUCGUCAUCGUUUAUGGUCCGCGUCCUUUUACGAUUCGUUGUCCCACGAGA